rnacentral:rRNA from 1 species
AUUGAACGCUGGCGGAAUGCUUUACACAUGCAAGUCGAACGGCAGCACGGGGGCAGCCCUGGUGGCGAGUGGCGAACGGGUGAGUAAUACAUCGGAACGUGCCCGGUCGUGGGGGAUAACGUAGCGAAAGUUACGCUAAUACCGCAUACGAUCUGAGGCUGAAAGCUGGGGACGUUCGGGCCUCGCGCGAUCGGAGCGGUCGAUGUCCGACUAGGUAGUUGGUGGGGUAAAGGCCUACUAAGCCGACGAUCUGUAGCUGGUCUGAGAGGACGACCAGCCACAUGGGGACUGGGCCACGGCCAAGAGUACUACGGGAGGCAGCAGUGGGGAAUUUUGGACAAUGGGGGCAAGCCUGAUACAGCCAUCCCGCGUGCAGGACGAAGGCGUUCGGGUUGUAAACUGCUUUUGUGCGGAACGAAAAGGCUCUGGCUAAUACCUGGGGCUCAUGACGGUACCGGAAGAAUAAGCACCGGCUAACUACGUG